rnacentral:rRNA from 1 species
CCUACGGGCGGCUGCAGUGGGGAAUAUUGCACAAUGGGCGCAAGCCUGAUGCAGCCAUGCCGCGUGUGUGAAGAAGGCCUUCGGGUUGUAAAGCACUUUCAGCGGGGAGGAAGGCGUUAAGGUUAAUAACCUUGGCGAUUGACGUUACCCGCAGAAGAAGCACCGGCUAACUCCGUGCCAGCAGCCGCGGUAAUACGGAGGGUGCAAGCGUUAAUCGGAAUUACUGGGCGUAAAGCGCACGCAGGCGGUCUGUCAAGUCGGAUGUGAAAUCCCCGGGCUCAACCUGGGAACUGCAUUCGAAACUGGCAGGCUAGAGUCUUGUAGAGGGGGGUAGAAUUCCAGGUGUAGCGGUGAAAUGCGUAGAGAUCUGGAGGAAUACCGGUGGCGAAGGCGGCCCCCUGGACAAAGACUGACGCUCAGGUGCGAAAGCGUGGGGAGCAAACAGGAUUAGAUACCCUUGGAGUC